AUGAACGCUAGCGACAGGCUUAACACAUGCAAGUCGAGGGGCAGCGGGGGUAGCGAUACCCGCCGGCGACCGGCGCACGGGUGAGUAACGCGUAUGCAACUUGCCUAUCAGAGGGGGAUAACCCGGCGAAAGUCGGACUAAUACCGCAUGAAGCAGGGGCCCCGCAUGGGGAUAUUUGCUAAAGAUUCAUCGCUGAUAGAUAGGCAUGCGUUCCAUUAGGCAGUUGGCGGGGUAACGGCCCACCAAACCGACGAUGGAUAGGGGUUCUGAGAGGAAGGUCCCCCACAUUGGUACUGAGACACGGACCAAACUCCUACGGGAGGCAGCAGUGAGGAAUAUUGGUCAAUGGGCGUAAGCCUGAACCAGCCAAGUCGCGUGAGGGAUGAAGGUUCUAUGGAUCGUAAACCUCUUUUAUAAGGGAAUAAAGUGCGGGACGUGUCCCGUUUUGUAUGUACCUUAUGAAUAAGGAUCGGCUAACUCCGUGCCAGCAGCCGCGGUAAUACGGAGGAUCCGAGCGUUAUCCGGAUUUAUUGGGUUUAAAGGGUGCGUAGGCGGCCUUUUAAGUCAGCGGUGAAAGUCUGUGGCUCAACCAUAGAAUUGCCGUUGAAACUGGGGGGCUUGAGUAUGUUUGAGGCAGGCGGAAUGCGUGGUGUAGCGGUGAAAUGCAUAGAUAUCACGCAGAACCCCGAUUGCGAAGGCAGCCUGCCAAGCCAUUACUGACGCUGAUGCACGAAAGCGUGGGGAUCAAACAGGAUUAGAUACCCUGGUAGUCCACGCAGUAAACGAUGAUCACUAGCUGUUUGCGAUACACUGUAAGCGGCACAGCGAAAGCGUUAAGUGAUCCACCUGGGGAGUACGCCGGCAACGGUGAAACUCAAAGGAAUUGACGGGGGCCCGCACAAGCGGAGGAACAUGUGGUUUAAUUCGAUGAUACGCGAGGAACCUUACCCGGGUUUGAACGCAUUCGGACCGAGGUGGAAACACCUUUUCUAGCAAUAGCCGUUUGCGAGGUGCUGCAUGGUUGUCGUCAGCUCGUGCCGUGAGGUGUCGGCUUAAGUGCCAUAACGAGCGCAACCCUUGCCACUAGUUACUAACAGGUAAAGCUGAGGACUCUGGUGGGACUGCCAGCGUAAGCUGCGAGGAAGGCGGGGAUGACGUCAAAUCAGCACGGCCCUUACAUCCGGGGCGACACACGUGUUACAAUGGCGUGGACAAAGGGAGGCCACCUGGCGACAGGGAGCGAAUCCCCAAACCACGUCUCAGUUCGGAUCGGAGUCUGCAACCCGACUCCGUGAAGCUGGAUUCGCUAGUAAUCGCGCAUCAGCCAUGGCGCGGUGAAUACGUUCCCGGGCCUUGUACACACCGCCCGUCAAGCCAUGGGAGCCGGGGGUACCUGAAGUCCGUAACCGCGAGGAUCGGCCUAGGGUAAAACUGGUGACUGGGGCU
rnacentral:rRNA from 1 species